UAGGGAAUCUUCCGCAAUGGACGAAAGUCUGACGGAGCAACGCCGCGUGAGUGAAGAAGGCUUUCGGUUCGUAAAACUCUGUUGUUAGGGAAGAAAAAAUGUAUAGUAACUAUAUACAAAAGAGACGGUACCUAACCAGAAAGCCACGGCUAACUACGUGCCAGCAGCCGCGGUAAUACGUAGGUGGCAAGCGUUGUCCGGAAUUAUUGGGCGUAAAGCGCGCGCAGGUGGUUUAGAAAGUCUGAUGUGAAAGCCCACGGCUCAACCGUGGAGGGUCAUUGGAAACUAAUAAACUUGAGUGCAGGAGGGAAAAGUGAAAUUCCUGGUGUAGCGGUGAAGUGCGUAGGGAUUAGGAGGAACACCGGUGGCGAAAGCGGCUUUUUGGCCUGCAACUGACACUGAGGCGCGAAAGCAUGGGGGGCAAACAGG
rnacentral:rRNA from 1 species